GGUCUCUUUGGACACUCGUGCACAGGUGGUGCAUGGUUGUCGUCAGCUCGUGUCGUGAGAUGUUGGGUUAAGUCCCGCAACGAGCGCAACCCCUAUCUUAUGUUGCCAGCACGUUAUGGUGGGGACUCGUAAGAGACUGCCGGGGUCAACUCGGAGGAAGGUGGGGAUGACGUAAAUCAUCAUGCCCCUUAUGUCUUGGGCUUCACGCAUGCUACAAUGGCCG
rnacentral:rRNA from 1 species